GCGCGAUUGGAUGAGCCGAUGUCGGAUUAGCUAGUUGGAGGGGUAACGGCCCACCAAGGCGACGAUCCGUAGCUGGUCUGAGAGGAUGAUCAGCCACACUGGGACUGAGACACGGCCCAG
rnacentral:rRNA from 1 species